rnacentral:rRNA from 1 species
UAGGGAAUCUUCCACAAUGGGCGAAAGCCUGAUGGAGCAACGCCGCGUGUGUGAUGAAGGGUUUCGGCUCGUAAAACACUGUUGUAAGGGAAGAAUGACAUUGAGAGUAACUGUUCAAUGUGUGACGGUAUCUUACCAGAAAGGAACGGCUAAAUACGUGCCAC